GUCUUAAUUGGGCGUUAAGUUGCAGGGUAUAGACCCGAAACCCGGUGAUCUAGCCAUGGGCAGGUUGAAGGUUGGGUAACACUAACUGGAGGACCGAACCGACUAAUGUUGAAAAAUUAGCGGAUGACCUGUGGCUGGGGGUGAAAGGCCAAUCAAACCGGGAGAUAGCUGGUUCUCCCCGAAAGCUAUUUAGGUAGCGCCUCGUGAAUUCAUCUCCGGGGGUAGAGCACUGUUUCGGCUAGGGGGCCAUCCCGGCUUACCAACCCGAUGCAAACUGCGAAUACCGGAGAAUGUUAUCACGGGAGACACACGGCGGGUGCUAACGUCCGUCGUGAAGAGGGAAACAACCCAGACCGCCAGCUAAGGUCCCAAAGUCAUGGUUAAGUGGGAAACGAUGUGGGAAGGCCCAGACAGCCAGGAUGUUGGCUUAGAAGCAGCCAUCAUUUAAAGAAAGCGUAAUAGCUCACUGGUCGAGUCGGCCUGCGCGGAAGAUGUAACGGGGCUAAACCAUGCACCGAAGCUGCGGCAGCGAACGUAUCACUUAAAGCGAUUCAGCGGGUUACGAUUGACGGAGCGAAGCGACGUCAAAGCGUAUACAAAGUCGAGUCGGUUUAAGGAUACGUUCGUUGGGUAGGGGAGCGUUCUGUAAGCCUGUGAAGGUGUGUCGUGAGGC
rnacentral:rRNA from 1 species